rnacentral:rRNA from 1 species
GAUGAACGCUAGCGGCAGGCCUAAUACAUGCAAGUCGAACGGUAACAUGGCAGCAAUGCUGAUGACGAGUGGCGCACGGGUGCGUAACGCGUAUGCAACCUACCCUUCACUGGGGAAUAGCCCGGAGAAAUUCGGAUUAACACCGCAUAAUAUGGUUAGUAGGCAUCUACAUAUCAUUAAAUCUACGGAGGUGAAGGAUGGGCAUGCGUCCAAUUAGCUAGUUGGUGAGGUAAUUGCUCACCAAGGCUAUGAUUGGUAGGGGUUCUGAGAGGAAGGUCCCCCACACUGGUACUGAGAUACGGACCAGACUCCUACGGGAGGCAGCAGUAGGGAAUAUUGGGCAAUGGGCGAGAGCCUGACCCAGCCAUGCCGCGUGAAGGAUGAAGGCUUUCUGAGUUGUUAAACUUCUUUUGGGUACGGAACAAAUAUCCUUGCGAGGAGAACUGAGUGUACCGAUAAGAAUAAGC